GCUAUCCCUCAUGCCACUAAACAUGUCAACGGCUAAGCCAUAGUCCUGAUAGUUUUCACAAUAUAAUCAUUUGUUUGCAACUAACGCCGUCCUUUGACUUUCAUUGAAACUUCACUCUGCAAAGCUCAAAUUUGAAGUGCAAUUUCUAAACUGCGACUGUGCCUUCAAUUUUAAUACUUCAGAGACAUACUAUGCAUCAAAAUGUAGGUCUAGGUCUUGUG